rnacentral:rRNA from 1 species
AGAGUUUGAUCAUGGCUCAGAACGAACGCUGGCGGCGUGCUUAACACAUGCAAGUCGAACGAGAAAGCUCCCUUCGGGGGGUGAGUAAAGUGGCAGACGGGUGAGUAACACGUGGGUAACCUGCCCGCGGGUGGGGGAUAACCCUCCGAAAGGAGGGCUAAUACCGCAUAACAUCUCGAGCUCUUCGGGGCUUGCGAUCAAAGCUUGCCUCUUCUUGAAAGCAAGCGCCUGUGGAGGGGCCCGCGCCCCAUUAGCUUGUUGGUGAGGUAACGGCUCACCAAGGCCGCGAUGGGUAGCCGGCCUAGAGAGGGUGAUCGGCCACACUGGAACUGAGACACGGCUCCAGACUCCUACGGAGAGCCACCAGUGAGGAAUUUUGCGCAACUGGGCGAAACAGCCUGACGCAGCGACGCCGCGUGGAGGACGAAAGGUCUUCGGGUCGUAAACUCCUGUCAAGCGGGACGAAUCCUGGACGGAUGAAUAAGCCGGCCAAUUGACGGUACCGCUGAAGGAAGCCCCGGCUAACUCCGUGCCAGCAGCCGCGGUAAUACGGAGGGGGCUAGCGUUGUUCGGAAUUAUUGGGCCGUAAAGGGCGCGUAGGCGGCUGUGCAAGUCGGACGUGAAAGCCCUCGGCUCAACCGAGGAAAUGCGCUUGAAACUGCUUGGCUUGAGUCCCGGAGAGGGUAGUGGAAUUCCCAGUGUAGCGGUGAAAUGCGUAGAUAUUGGGAGGAACACCAGUGGCGAAGGCGACUACCUGGACGGGUACUGACGCUGAGGCGCGAAAGCGUGGGGAGCAAAGCAGGAUUAGAUACCCUGGUAGUCCACGCUGUAAACGAUGGGCACUUGGUGUUGCGGGUAUCGACCCCUGCAGUGCCAAAGCUAAACGCAUUAAGUGCCCCGCCUGGGGAGUACGGUCGCAAGGCUGAAACUCAAAGGAAUUGACGGGGAGCCCCGCAUCAAGCGGUGGAGACAUGUGGUUUAAUUCCGAGCGCACGCGAAGAACCUUACCUGGGUUUAAAUUCCGGUGGAUCGCUCCAGAGAUGAGCUUCCCUUCGGGGCUGCCGUGAAGGUGCUGCAUGGCUGUCGUCAGCUCGAUGUGUGAGAUGUGGGUUAGUCCCGCAACGAGCGCAACCCCGUGCCCUUAGUUGCCAGCGGUUCGGCCGGGAACUCUAGGGGGACUGCCGGUGAUAAACCGGAGGAAGGUGGGGAUGACGUCAAGCAUCAUGGCCUUUAUGUCCAGGGCUACACACGUGCUACAAUGGGCAGGUACAAAGGGCUGCGAUACCGCGAGGUGGAGCCAAUCCUCAAAACUGGUCCUAGUUCGGAUUGUAGUCUGCAACUCGACUGCAUGAAGCCGGAAUCGCUAGUAAAGGUGUAUCAGCUACGACACCUUGGAUACGUUCCCGGGCCUUGUACACACCGCCCGUCUACAUCAUGGAAGCUGAGCAGAAGUGGGACAACUUAAAGAGGAGGGAGACGCCGAAGGGUGGUAGUGAUGGGAUGAAGUCGUAACAAGGUAUGCC